GGAGAUACAGUUAAGUGGCAGAGCACUUACUUAACAUGAAUGAGGCUUUGGGUUCAAUCCCCAGUAAUUCCA
rnacentral:tRNA from 1 species